AGCAGUAGCCGCGGUAAUACGUAGGUGGCAAGUGUUGUCCGGAAUUAUUGGGCGUAAAGGGCUCGCAGGCGGUUUCUUAAGUCUGAUGUGAAAGCCCCCGGCUCAACCGGGGAGGGUCAUUGGAAACUGGGAAACUUGAGUGCAGAAGAGGAGAGUGGAAUUCCACGUGUAGCGGUGAAAUGCGUAGAGAUGUGGAGGAACACCAGUGGCGAAGGCGACUCUCUGGUCUGCAACUGACGCUGAGGAGCGAAAGCGUGGGGAGCGAACAGGAUUAGAUACCCGCGUAGUCCCUGUCUCUUAUAC
rnacentral:rRNA from 1 species